CACGUAGGAUCCAAGCGUUAUCCGGAUUUACUGGGCGUAAAGCGCGUGCAGGUGGUUUGGAAAGUUGGGUGUUAAAGCUCUCGGCUCAACCGGGAGUUGUCGCUCAAAACUAGCAGACUAGAGGAUGGUAGAGGGAGGUGGAAUUCCACGUGUAGAGGUGAAAUUCGUAGAUAUUCGGAAGAACACCAGUGGCGAAGGCGGCUCUUUGGCCUAUAACUGACGCUGAGGCGCGAAAGCGUGGGGAGCAAACAGG
rnacentral:misc_RNA from 1 species